rnacentral:rRNA from 1 species
AUUGAACGCUGGCGGCAGGCCUAACACAUGCAAGUCGAGCGGAUGAAGGGGGCUUGCUCCUGGAUUCAGCGGCGGACGGGUGAGUAAUUCCUAGGAAUCUGCCUGGUAGUGGGGGAUAACGUCCGGAAACGGGCGCUAAUACCGCAUACGUCCUGAGGGAGAAAGUGGGGGAUCUUCGGACCUCACGCUAUCAGAUGAGCCUAGGUCGGAUUAGCUAGUUGGUGGGGUAAAGGCCUACCAAGGCGACGAUCCGUAACUGGUCUGAGAGGAUGAUCAGUCACACUGGAACUGAGACACGGUCCAGACUCCUACGGGAGGCAGCAGUGGGGAAUAUUGGACAAAGGGCGAAAGCCUGAUCCAGCCAUGCCGCGUGUGUGAAGAAGGUCUUCGGAUUGUAAAGCACUUUAAGUUGGGAGGAAGGGCAGUAAGUUAAUACCUUGCUGUUUUGACGUUACCAAAAGAAUAAGCACCGGCUAACUUCGUG